ACACUGGUACUGAGACACGGACCAGACUCCUACGGGAGGCAGCAGUGAGGAAUAUUGGUCAAUGGGCGAGAGCCUGAACCAGCCAAGUCGCGUGAGGGAUGACUGCCCUAUGGGUUGUAAACCUCUUUUGUAUGGGGGGAAUAAGCUUUACGAGUAGAGUGAUGACAGUACCAUACGAAUAAGCAUCGGCUAACUCCGUGCCAGCAGCCGCGGUAAUACGGAGGAUGCGAGCGUUAUCCGGAUUUAUUGGGUUUAAAGGGUGCGUAGGCGGCAUUAUAAGUUAGUGGUAAAAUAUUGGGGCUUCACCUCACUACGCCAUUAAUACUGUAGAGCUAGAGAACAGACGAGGUAGGCGGAAUAAGUUAAGUAGCGGUGAAAUGCAUAGAUAUAACUUAGAACACCGAUAGCGAAGGCAGCUUACCAGACUGAGUCUGACGCUGAUGCACGAGAGCAUGGGUAGCGAACAGGAUUAGAUACCCUGGUAGUCCAUGCCGUAAACGAUGCUCACUGGCCUUAGGCGAUAUAUGGUCUGA
rnacentral:rRNA from 1 species